ACGGGGGUUGCAAGCGUUGUCCGGAAUUACUAGGCGUAAAGGGCAGGUAGGCGGAUCCAUAAGUGUUUUGUUAAAGGCAACGGCUUACCCGUUGUAAGGCAGGUGAAACUGGAGGUCUGGAAUGCGGUUGGGGAGGACGGAAUUCCUGGUGUAGCGGUGAAAUGCGUAGAGAUUAGGAAGAACACCGGAGGCGAAGGCGAUUCUCUGGACUGUAAUUGACGCUGAGGCGCGAAAGCGUGGGGAGCAAACAG
rnacentral:rRNA from 1 species